GAUGAAGAACGUAGCGAAAUGCGAUAAGUAAUGUGAAUAGCAGAAUUCAGUGAAUCAUCGAAUCUUUGAACGCACAUUGCGCCCGCCAGUAUUCUGGCGGGCAUGCCUGUUCGAGCGUCAUUUCAACCCUCAAGACCCCUUCGGGGGACUUGGUGUUGGGGACCGGCACAGGGGCCUGCCUGCUUGUCUUGCAGCGCCCUCGCCGCCCCCGAAAUGAAUUGGCGGCCUCGUCGCGGCCUCCCCUGCGUAGUAGCACAAACCUCGCAACGGGAACGUGACGGCGGCCACUGCCGUAAAACAACCCAAUUUUAUUAGAGUUGACCUCGAAUCAGGUAGGAAUACCCGCUGAACUUAAGCAUAUCAAUAAGCGGAGGA
rnacentral:misc_RNA from 1 species